UAGGGAAUUUUCGUCAAUGGGGGGAACCCUGAACGAGCAAUGCCGCGUGUGUGAAGAAGGUCUUCGGAUCGUAAAGCACUGUUGUAAGUGAAGAAUGCCAUAUAGAGGAAAUGCUAUGUGGGUGACGGUAGCUUACCAGAAAGCCACGGCUAACUACGUGCCAGCAGCCGCGGUAAUACGUAGGUGGCAAGCGUUAUCCGGAAUCAUUGGGCGUAAAGGGUGCGUAGGUGGCACGAUAAGUCUGAAGUAAAAGGCAACAGCUCAACUGUUGUAUGCUUUGGAAACUGUCGAGCUAGAGUGCAGAAGAGGGCGAUGGAAUUCCAUGUGUAGCGGUAAAAUGGCGUAGAUAUAUGGAGGAACACCAGUGGCGAAGGCGGUCGCCUGGUCUGUAACUGACACUGAUGCACGAAAGCGUGGGGAGCAAAUAGGAUUAGAUACC
rnacentral:rRNA from 1 species